UCUAGAAACGUCCACGUCAGCAAAAAGUUCACACUUUUAACACCACUUUUGCAGCUCAAUUAAUAAAGCAACCCACUUGCUUUUGCAUUAUUUCCGAAUCUCCCCCUUCCUCUCCAAAAAUAUCUAUCCUUUCAUUUUCCUUCACUCACUCCCACCACAAAAUCCCCCAAAUUCCUUCAAAAUUUCCCCAUCUUCUGAUCAAAUCAACAAAACCCCUAUUAUUUCAUCCAAUUUCCCCCAAAUUUUCAAGCUCAAUUUGGUCGAUCUUGGUUUCAAUUUGGGAACAUUUUUCAUUUCACAAACCCUUGAUUUCUGAUGGGAGAAGAAGUACAGAUGAAAGAUCAAGGUAGAGAUGAUGAUCAAGAACGAGUAUCAGAAUGGGAAUUCGGAUUACCGAAUUCCGAUGAUCUAACGCCAUUAUCUCACCCAUUGAUUUCACCAGAACUCGCAUCAGCUUUCAGUAUAAGUCCAGAACCGUACCGGACGAUGGUCGAUGUCAAUCGCGCAUCUAAAAGCACCUUGUCGAAUCUCCGUAUACAGAAUCAAUCGAGGAAUUUCCCUUCGUUUGAUCAAGAAACUGAAAUCCUUGAAGAAGAUGACGAUGAGGAACCGUCGCGGAAAUCACGGCGAACGGAGGCGGUGGUGGAGGUUACAAACGUUACUAAUGAUGAUGAUGGUGGCGGCGGCGGCGGUGAGGAUGAUACUGAUCGGAAUUCGAAGAGGGUGAGGUUAGUAUGGACCCCACAGCUGCAUAAGAGGUUUGUUGAUGUUGUUGGGCAUUUAGGGAUUAAGAAUGCGGUUCCGAAAACUAUUAUGCAAUUGAUGAAUGUGGAGGGGUUGACAAGAGAGAAUGUUGCUAGUCAUUUGCAAAAGUAUAGAUUGUAUUUGAAAAGAAUGCAGGGGUUGUCGAAUGAAGGGCCGUCGUCUUCGGAUCCGUUGUUUGCGACUACGCCGGUUCCGCAGAAUUUAAAUGAGUCAGGUGGACAAGGUCAUAAUGUUCCGAAUGUUCAGAGGAAUGCAAUGCCAGCGCCGUAUGGAGGAGGAGGGCAGAUGAUGUCAAUGCCGGUUUGGAGUGGUCAUCAUGGACAUAUGGCUAUGCCUUAUCAUGGAAUGGAGCAGUAUCAUAAUCAUAUGUAUAGAGAGCAACAAAGAGAGUGGCACAGUGGUGGUGGCGGUAAUAGGUUCCAUUCAAUUUCGUCGUAUCCUAAUAAUGUUAAUCAAAAUGAUAAAUAAAAUUGAAUCCGUUUUUGGCAAUUUGAUAUGAGGUCAUACUAAAAUGUGACGUCAAUGUUUUGUGAAAGCUGAAAUGUUUCCACAGCCAUCUGUGCAAAUGAAUAAAACUGUAGUUGCAUGUGUCACAAGGCUUGUCGCACUAAGGUUUGAAUGAAUGGGAUUCCAGAAAUCACGGAGCACUAAGCGAAUGCAAGUUCACAAUUCAGUUUCUGUCAGUUUAAGGCGAUGUCAGUGGGUUCCAGAACUCAGCAACUUACAAAACAUUGAAAGGAAAAUGAUUGUUCGUAUUCCAGUUUCUGUUUGUAGAUUCUUAUGUUCCGUUGGUAGUAAGUGCGCAAAGGGACCUGCAGCAACUGAGGGCGGAUCUAAGUUGCAUGUAUCACAAGGUUUCCCUCGCUAUUGUUUGGAUGAAUGGGACUCUAGAAGUCAUCAACUUACAGAGCAUUAAGUGAAUGCAAGUUACCAAUUGAAGUUAUGUCAGUUUACUUAGCUUUGGAAGAGGCGAAGUCAGUGGGUUCCAGAACUCAACAACUUACAGAACACUGAAAGGUGAAUGAAUGUUUGUAGGUCUAAUUUCUGAUUUUAGACUUUACAAUGCAAUUGGUGGGAAGUAAGCAAUAUUGAGCUGCAUCAACCUUGGGUGGAUCUGAGGUAAGAUACCAGAUCUAUGUAUGUAAUUCUGAACUGAUUGAUGUCUUUAUAUGUCAGCUCAUAAAAGCUCUAUUUGUCAGUAGACAGAAGAUACAACACCAAGGAAGACAUACCAUUCCAUAGACUCCUACUGUAUGGCAAUGUCUGACAUGAGUACUGCAUUUUCGAUUUGUCAAAUCUGAAAUGACUGCAUACAUAAUUGUUCUGUUUUUGUUUGUCAUUCAUGUUUUGAGUAAAUGUUGAACCGAUUCUUUAGGUUUUUAAUGUCAAGGAUGAUGGCUUUUGGAAAUCAAUUUUCCUGGUUUUCAACAAUAGCUUAGUUGUCGAUAUUUCAAGCUCAUAUUGAGAACAUACAUGCAGGAGCAGUGAUUUAAGUUCGUAACACAGUAGUCGGUAAAUGUAUGUAUUUCUGAACUGAGUACUUUUUCAAAGCCCUGAUUCUGCAAUGAAUGUUGGUACCUGG